UACGUAGGGGGCAAGCGUUGUCCGGAUUUACUGGGCGUAAAGAGCGCGCAGGCGGUCGUUCAAGUCGCGUGUGAAAGCCCCCGGCUCAACUGGGGAGGGUCACGCGAUACUGAUCGACUCGAAGGCAGGAGAGGGUAGUGGAAUUCCCGGUGUAGUGGUGAAAUUCGUAGAUAUUCGGAAGAACACCAGUGGCGAAGGCGACUUACUGGACACAUAUUGACGCUGAGGUGCGAAAGCGUGGGGAGCAAACAGG
rnacentral:rRNA from 1 species